GUUGUCGUUGUUGUUGGGGCAGGUGUUGUCGUUGUUGUUGUUGGGGCAGGUGUUGUUGUUGUUGGGGCAGGUGUUGUUGUUGUUGUUGGGGCAGGUGUUGUUGUUGUUGUUGUUGAUGGGGAAGGUGUUGUUGUUGGGGCAGGUGUUGUCGUUGUUGUUGUUGGGGCAGGUGUUGUUGUUGUUGGGGCAGGUGUUGUUGUUGUUGUUGGGGCAGGUGUUGUUGUUGUUGUUGUUGUUGAUGGGGAAGGUGUUGUUGGGGCAGGUGUUGUUGUUGUUGUUGUUGUUGUUGGGGCAGGUGUUGUUGUUGUUGUUGUUGGGGCAGGUGUUGUUGUUGUUGUUGUUGGGGCAGGUGUUGUUGUUGUUGUUGGGGCAGGUGUUGUUGUUGUUGUUGGGGCAGGUGUUGUUGUUGUUGGGGCAGGUGUUGUUGUUGUUGUUGUUGUUGGGGCAGGUGUUGUUGUUGUUGUUGGGGCAGGUGUUGUUGUUGGUGUUGUUGUUGUUGGGGCAGGUGUUGUUGUUGUUGUUGUUGUUGGGGAAGGUGUUGUUGUUGUUGGGGCAGGUGUUGUUUUUGUUGUUGUUGUUGUUGGGGCAGGUGUUGUAGUUGUUGGGGCAGCUGUUGUUGUUGUAGUUGUUGGGGCAGCUGUUGUUGUGGAAGCUGUUGUUGUUGCUGUUGUUGGGGAAGCUGUUGUUGUUGUUGUUGUUGGGGCAGCUGUUGUUGUUGUUAGGGCAGGUGUAGUUAUUGUUGGGGCAGGUGUUGUUGUUGUUGUUGUUGGGGAAGCUGUUGUUUUUGAUGUGGUUGUUGUUGGGGCAGAUGUAGUUACACUUGGUUUUGGACCCGCUUUAAAUAUAAUUUUAAAGAAAUAAGUUAGUUAUGAUCUGUACACAAACUAAAAAAAUAUUUCUUCUAUUCAGUUGAUUAAAGUUGAAAGAGGGCUGAAUUAAAGACUUGUAAACUGUAGUGUGAAUUUUUGUUCCCUUCACUCACCUAAAGGUACAACUGUAAGGGAGCUCAAAUCCACAGGGAAGGAAUUGUCAGGGUCGUUUGCAGCGGCACGCAAGGUUGCAGCAACAACUUCAUUUAGUGGGAGUUCAUUAAAUGGGGUGCUUGGAUUGAAGAGAAUCUCCAUAUCCACAUCUCCAACUGUUCCAAGUCUAGUUUCCGUCAAACUGUAUUUAUAAAAAAAUGUGAGAGAAAAAUGUGAGGUUACUUAAUGUUAAGUAAGAAAACAGUAAAUGAAAAUGACCUUAUGAAAGAACAUCUAAAUACGCCAGAUCAAACAACACAAGUUUGUUGACAAGACAGAUGGUUUUACCGGAAAUGCUUCACUCUGCACUGGAGAAAUAUUCUGCCAAAUUUUGCUUUAUAGAUGAGGUUACACUGUUGAAAGGACAAAAGAAGCGAGCAUGGUAAAUGAUCUAUGAAGUGGUUUGAAACACUAUUCUGCAGAUAAAAUUCAAAUUUAAACAAACUUUUCGAGACAAACUGUAAUGGAAUUUAAGAUAACCCUAUUGAACUGUUGUAUUGAUUGGAAUGAAAUAAAAAAAUGUAGCUUAAGUUUUGAAAUAACUCCAAAAGAACUUACUAUUUCAAUGACUUGAUUUUCAAUUGCGCUGUAUUGAGAGCUCUGGGGGUUCAGAAGUUGAGUAGUGAAGACUUCAUUGAACAACUGUAGAUUAAGUAAAUAAAUAAUAGUAGAUGCUGUUGUUGGGGCAGCUGUUGUUGUUGUUGUUGUUGUUGUUGUUGUUGUUGUUGGGGCAGGUGUUGUUGUUGGGGAAGGUGUUGUUGUUGUUGUUGAUGGGGAAGGUGUUGUUGUUGUUGGGGCAGGUGUUGUUGUUGUUGUUGUUGGGGCAGGUGUUGUUGUUGUUGUUGGGGAAGGUGUUGUUGUUGUUGUUGUUGUUGGGGCAGGUGUUGUUGUUGUUGUUGAUGGGGAAGUUGUUGGGGGGUGUUGUUGGGGCAGGUGUUGUUGUUGUUGGGGCAAGUGUUGUUGUUGUUGUUGGGGCAGGUGUUGUUGUUGUUGUUGGGGCAGCUGUUGUUGGGACAGGUGUUGUUGUUGUUGGGGCAGGUGUUGUUGUUGUUGUUGUUGUUGUUGGGGCAGGUGUUGUUGUUGUUGUUGGGGCUGUUGUUGUUGUUGGGGAAGGUGUUGUUGUUGUUGGGGAAGGUGUUGUUGUUGUUGUUGUUGUUGUUGGGGCAGCUGUUGUUGUUUGGGCAGGUGUUGUUGUUGUUGUUGGGGCAGGUGUUGUUGUUGUUGUUGUUGGGGCAGGUGUUGUUGUUGUUGUUGUUGUUGUUGGGGAAGGUGUUGUUGUUGUUGUUGUUGUUGUUGAUGGGGAAGGUGUUGUUGUUGUUGGGGCAGGUGUUGUGGUUGUUGUUGUUGGGGCAGGUGUUGUUGUUGUUGUUGUUGUUGGGGCAGGUGUUGUUGUUGUUGUUGUUGGGGCAGGUGUUGUUGUUGUUGGGGCAGGUGUUGUUGUUGUUGGGGCAGGUGGUUGUUGUUGUUGUUGUUGGGGAAGCUGUUGUUGUUGGGGCAGGUGUUGUUGUUGGGGCAGGUGUUGUUGUUGGGGCAGGUGUUGUUGUUGUUGUUGUUGUUGGGGCAGGUGUUGUUGUUGUUGGGGCAGGUGUUGUUGUUGUUGUUGGGGAAGGUGUUGUUGUUGUUGUUGUUGAUGGGGAAGGUGUUGUUGUUGUUGGGGCAGGUGUUGUUGUUGUUGUUGUUGGGGCAGGUGUUGUUGUUGUUGGGGAAGGUGUUGUUGUUGUUGUUGGGGCAGGUGUUGUUGUUGUUGUUGUUGGGGCAGGUGUUGUUGUUUUUGUUGGGGCAGGUGUUGUUGUUGUUGUUGGGGCAAGUGUUGUUGUUGUUGUUGAUGGGGAAGGUGUUGUUGUUGUUAGGGCAGGUGUUGUUGUUGUUGGGGCAGGUGUUGUUGUUGUUGUUGUUGUUGUUGGGGCAGGUGUUGUUGUUGUUGUUGUUGUUGUUGGGGCAGGUGUUGUUGUUGUUGGGGCAGGUGCUGUUGUUGGGGCAGGGUGUUGUUGUUGUUGUUGUUGUUGUUGGGGCAGGUGUUGUUGUUGGGGCAGGUGUUGUUGUUGUUGUUGGGGAAGGUGUUGUUGUUGUUGUUGUUGAUGGGGAAGGUGUUGUUGUUGUUGGGGCAGGUGUUGUUGUUGUUGUUGUUGGGGCAGGUGUUGUUGUUGUUGGGGAAGGUGUUGUUGUUGUUGUUGGGGCAGGUGUUGUUGUUGUUGUUGUUGGGGCAGGUGUUGUUGUUUUUGUUGGGGCAGGUGUUGUUGUUGUUGUUGUUGUUGGGGCAAGUGUUGUUGUUGUUGUUGAUGGGGAAGGUGUUGUUGUUGGGGCAGGUGUUGUUGUUGUUGGGGCAGGUGUUGUUGUUGUUGUUGUUGUUGGGGCAGGUGUUGUUGUUGUUGUUGUUGUUGUUGUUGGGGCAGGUGUUGUUGUUGUUGGGGCAGGUGCUGUUGUUGGGGCAGGUGUUGUUGUUGUUGUUGUUGUUGUUGUUGGGGCAGGUGUUGUUGUUGGGGCAGGUGUUGUUGUUGUUGUUGUUGGGGAAGGUGUUGUUGUUGUUGUUGUUGAUGGGGAAGGUGUUGUUGUUUUCGGGGCAGGUGUUGUUGUUGUUGUUGUUGGGGCAGGUGUUGUUGUUGUUGGGGCAGGUGUUGUUGUUGUUGUUGCGGUAGGUGUUGUUGUUGGGGCAGGUGUUGUUGUUGUUGUUGAUGGGGAAGGUGUUGUUGUUGUUGGGGCAGGUGUUGUUGUUGUUGUUGUUGUUGGGGCAGGUGUUGUUGUUGUUGUUGUUGGGGCAGGGUGUUGUUGUUGUUGUUGUUGUUGUUGUUGGGGCAGGUGUUGUUGUUGUUGGGGCAGGUGUUGUUGUUGUUGUUGGGGCAGGUGUUGUUGUUGUUGUUGUUGUUGUUGUUGAUGGGGAAGGUGUUGUUGUUGUUGGGGCAGGUGUUGUUGUUGUUGUUGUUGGGGCAGGUGUUGUUGUUGGGGCAGCUGUUGUUGUUGGGGCAGGUGUUGUUGUUGUUGGGGCAGGUGUUGUUGUUGUUGUUGGGGAAGGUGUUGUUGUUGUUGUUGUUGGGGCAGCUGUUGUUGUUGGGGCAGGUGUUGUUGUUGUUGGGGAAGGUGUUGUUGUUGUUGUUGUUGAUGGGGAAGGUGUUGUUGUUGUUGGGGCAGGUGUUGUUGUUGUUGUUGUUGGGGAAGGUGUUGUUGUUGUUGUUGGGGCAGGUGUUGUUGUUGUUGUUGGGGAAGGUGUUGUUGUUGUUGUUGUUGUUGGGGCAGGUGUUGUUGUUUUUGUUGUUGUUGUUGGGGCAGGUGUUGUUGUUGUUGGGGCAGGUGUUGUUUUUGUUGUCGAUGGGGAAGGUGUUGUUGUUGUUGGGGCAGGUGUUGUUGUUGUUGUUGGGGCAGGUGUUGUUGUUGGGGCAGGUGUUGUUGUUGUUGUUGGGGCAGCUGUUGUUGUUGGGGCAGGUGUUGUUGUUGUUGGGGCAGGUGUUGUUGUUGUUGUUGGGGAAGGUGUUGUUGUUGUUGUUGUUGGGGCAGCUGUUGUUGUUGGGGCAGGUGUUGUUGUUGUUGGGGAAGGUGUUGUUGUUGUUGUUGUUGAUGGGGAAGGUGUUGUUGUUGUUGGGGCAGGUGUUGUUGUUGUUGUUGUUGGGGAAGGUGUUGUUGUUGUUGUUGGGGCAGGUGUUGUUGUUGUUGUUGGGGCAGGUGUUGUUGUUGUUGUUGUUGUUGGGGCAGGUGUUGUUGUUUUUGUUGUUGUUGUUGGGGCAGGUGUUGUUGUUGUUGUUGGGGCAGGUGUUGUUUUUGUUGUCGAUGGGGAAGGUGUUGUUGUUGUUGGGGCAGGUGUUGUUGUUGUUGUUGGGGCAGGUGUUGUUGUUGGGGCAGGUGUUGUUGUUGUUGUUGGGGCAGCUGUUGUUGUUGGGGCAGGUGUUGUUGUUGUUGGGGCAGGUGUUGUUGUUUUUGUUGUUGUUGGGGCAGGUGUUGUUGUUGUUGGGGCAGGGUGUUGUUUUUGUUGUUGUUGGGGCAGGUGUUGUGGUUGUUGUUGUUGGGGCAGGUGUUGUUGUUGUUGUUGGGGCAGGUGUUGUUGUUGUUGUUGGGGCAGGUGUUGUUGUUGUUGUUGGGGCAGAUUUUGUUGUUGUUGGGGCAGGUGUUGUUGUUGUUUUUGUUGGGGCAGGUGUUGUUGUUGUCGGGGCAGGUGUUGUUGUUGUUGUUGUUGGGGCAGGUGUUGUUGUUGUCGGGGCAGGUGUUGUUGUUGUUGUUGGGGAAGGUGUUGUUGUUGUUGUUGGGGCAGGUGUUGUUGUUGUUGGGGAAGGUGUUGUUGUUGUUGUUGUUGUUGGGGCAGGUGUUGUUGUUGUUGUUGUUGUUGUUGUUAGGGCAGGUGUUGUUGUUGUUGUUGUUGGGGCAGGUGUUGUUGUUGUUGUUGUUGGGGCAGGUGUUGUUGUUGUUGUUGUUGGGGCAGGUGUUGUUGUUGUUGUCGGGACAGGUGUUGUUGUUGUUGUUGUUGUUGUUGGGGUAGGUGUUGUUGUUUUUGGGGCAGGUGUUGUUGUUGUUGUUGUUGGGGCAGGUGUUGUUGUUGUUGUCUUUGUUGGGGCAGGUGUUGUUGUUGUUGUUGUUGGGGAAGGUGUUGUUGUUGUUGUUGUUGGGGCAGGUGUUGUUAUUGUUGUUGGGGAAGGUGUUGUUGUUGUUGUUGUUGUUGUUGUUGGGGUAGGUGUUGUUGUUGUUGUUGUUGGGGAAGGUGUUGUUGUUGUUGGGGAAGGUGUUGUUGUUGUUGUUGGGGAAGGUGUUGUUGUUGUUGUUGUUGUUAUUGGGGCAGGUGUUGUUGUUGGGGCAGGUGUUGUUGUUGUUGGGGCAGGUGUUGUUGUUGUUGGGGCAGGUGUUGUUGUUGUUGUUGGGGCAGCUGUUGUUGUUGGGGCAGGUGUUGUUGUUGUUGUUGGGGCAGGUGUUGUUGUUGUUGUUGUUGGGGCAGGUGUUGUUGUUGUUGGGGCAGGUAUUGUUGUUGUUGUUGUUGUUGGGGAAGGUGUUGUUGUUGUUGUUGGGGCAGGUGUUGUUGUUGUUGGGGCAGGUGUUGUUGUUGUUGUUGUUGGGGCAGGUGUUGUUGUUGUUGUUGUUGGGGCAGGUGUUGUUUUACUUGUUGGGGCAGGUGUUGUUGUUGUUGUUGUGCCAGGUGUUGUUGUUGGGGCAGGUGUUGUUGUUGUUGUUUUUGGGGCAGGUGUUGUUGUUGUUGUUGGGGCAGGUGUUGUUGUUGUUGUUGUUGUUGUUGUUGGGGCAGGUGUUGUUGUUGUUGUUGUUGUUGGGGCAGGUGUUUUUGUUGUUGUUGCGGUAGCUGUUGUUGUUGGGGCAGGUGUUGUUGUUGUUGUUAUUGGGGCAGGUGUUGUUGUUGUUGGGGCAGGUGUUGGGGCAGGUGUUUUUGUUGGGGCAGGUGUUGUUGUUGCGGUAGCUGUUGUUGUUGGGGCAGGUGUUGUUGUUGUUGUUGUUGGGGCAGGUGUUGUUGUUGUUGUUGUUGGGGCAGGUGUUGUUGUUGUUGUUGUUGGGGCAGGUGUUGUUGUUGUUGUUGGGGCAGGUGUUGUUGUUGUUGUUGUUGGGGAAGGUGUUGUUGUUGUUGUUGGGGCAGCUGUUGUUGUUGUUGUUGUUGUUGGGGCAGGUGUUUUUGUUGUUGUUGGGGCAGCUGUUGUUGUUGGGGAAGGUGUUGCUGUUGUUGUUGGGGAAGGUGUUGCUGUUGUUGUUGGGGCAGGUGUUGUUGUUGUUGUUGUUGUUGGGGCAGGUGUUGUUGUUGUUGCGGUAGCUGUUGUUGUUGUUGUUGGGGCAGCUGUUGUUGUUGUUGUUGUUGGAGCAGGUGUUGUUGUUGUUGUUGUUGGGGCAGGUGUUGUUGUUGUUGGGGAAGCUGUUGUUGUUGUUGUUGUUGUUUGGGCAGGUGUUGUUGUUGUUGGGGCAGGUGUUGUUGUUGUAGUUGUUCCUGUUAUCACUGCCAGAAUUUUGGGCGACAAAAACAUUUCAGUUUUUUUAUCCAUUGUCAUUUUACAUAUAAAAUUUCUUUCCAUUGUUUUAAUGGCCAUACAAUUUUUAAUAUUUGUUUCCUUUAUUAUUUAAAGCAUUUUGUUUACUUUGUAAUCAGGGUGGUAUUACAAACCAAACUGAUGCCCUAUAUCAUUUCUUUUGAUUAUUUAGUCAUUGGUUUAAGAGUUUUACUUUUUCCUGUAAGUUGAACAGUUAUUCAUUGAAAUAGCUGUCAUUAAUAUCUUACUUUAAAUGACUUUCCAACGUUUGCUUUUUUUGAAUAUUUAAAAAGGAGCUAGCUUACCAGUAAGAAUUAGGAAAAGUGAUGUGGCCACCCCUCCUAUGGCCAUUUUGUCUUCUUUUAGGUCCGUCAAAAAGAAAGUCUGCAAACAAUCAAAAGGUUGGUGUUGUGCUUUUCCACACUUACAACAAAAACUGCAAAGUUACAAUGUUUGGUGUCCAUACUAAAUGUAUGCAAAAUUUCAAAUCACAAGGUGAAUGUUAUCAAAAGGAUGUAGACUGCUCAAUAUAGGAGCCUGAGCUGAUGACGUGAGACUCACUAAAAUGUCUACAUAGAUAUUAUAGGCUCUCCUUAUUAGUUCAUCUGUGUCUCUGGCAAAGCCCAAUGGCUUGCCCCCAACAGCGUGUGAAGUGACGCUCACGGCGGGGCAGGGGAAAGCUGCUCUUCUGUUCUAUGCCAAAGUGAGAAACACAAGGCUUUUUAAAAAAUCUAAAUAUCAAGCUAUUAAAGAGGUAUCAGAAAGGAAAUAUAGAAAAAAAAAAGAAUAAUUCCCCAUCUUAAGAAACUAAAUCACAAAGGCACUGUGGAAAAUUAUUUGUUGGCUCCAUAGACUGUAUAUACUAUGGACAACCUGAGGCCUGGGGUCCGUUUCACGUAGGUGGUUCAACAAACUCUGAGUUAAAUCCUUAACUCUGAGUUGAUCUACUCUGAGUUAGGAAACUCUGAGUUUCCGGUUUCACAACACCUGAUUUGAGACGGUUUUAUCAACUCCGAGUAGUUUGACCUGGAGUUAAGCACGUGCACGCCAGACAUAAACAGCCAGCAUCUGUGGAGCACAGAUUCAAUGAUCAACCAAUAGAAACAGGGAGAAGGAGGGGGCAGCAGCGAGCCAACAGCGAAUUACAGCACGUUUUUAAAAGAAAGUGCAAUACAGCAGCAGCUGCAAAGGAGAGGGAGAGGGCUUGGGAGGAAAUCGCUGCUCGCGUCAAUGCAUAACUUUAAAUCUAGUCUCGUGCAAUCACAAUGACAGACUGUUGCAGGGAAACUGCUUGAAUCAUUUUGAUCAUGUUUUACAUUGUCAAGUAAGUAUUAAGUGGCAGUUUGAUCACUUAGAAAAUGCUCUUUUCACACUCAAAAAUGAAUUUUACUCUCUUAUGAUGUUCCGUUAAAUGAUUAGGAAUAUUAAACUAGCUCUCAGUAUGUAUAUGUACAUAUAUUAAACUAACACACACUACACUCAAUAUUAGACUUUCACUCAGCAAACAGAAAGAGGGCAGAUGCCAGAAAAACGGGUGGUGUCCCAGCAGCCCCACCUUUAACGGAGGCAGAGGAGCUGCCCCCCCCCCACGACGAUCGCAACCCCCACCCCGUAGCAGCGAUCGUCGGACUGGGGUGUGGGUCGGGGGGGGUGGGGGGAUUUGCGAUCGGACCGGCCUCGAACGGAGGGGGGGGGGGGGGGGGGCAGCUCCUCUGCCUCCGUUAAAGGUGGGGCUGCUGGACCACCACCCGUUUUUGUGUUAGUUUAAUAUUCCUAAUCAUUUAACGGAACAUCAUAAGAGAGUAAAAUUCAGUUUUGAGUGUGAAAAGAGCAUUUUUGAAGGGAUCAAACUGCCACUUAACAUUUAUUUGACAAAAUAAACCUUGAUCAAAAUGAGAAAAUGCCGAUCUCUCACCUGAAACUCUGGAUUUACUGAGUUAAACCUGCUCCCGAGCAGGUUAGGUUCACGGAGUCUGUUACUGUGGUAACUGACCGCGAGGUUGAGUUACCUCUCUUUGUGAAACAGGUUAGAGUUACCCCUCUCUCCCUGGUUUAACUAACCCUCCUUUGUGAAACGGAAAACUCAGAGUUUCCCUGAUUUCAGGGUUAACAAACUCGGAGUUUCCACUAAACCUGCUACGUGAAACGGACCCCUGUACUACGAAGCUGGAUUAACACAUCCAGGGUAACUCUGCGACAACUUGCUUAACUUCACCGGAUCUCCGCGAUCCCGAUCAGCUGUAUUACGAAGCCGGUUAUCAACUCGAUAACUGAAUCCAGGUGUGGCCACUUCAGAUCUGUGCGCGCACACGUAAAGGGGGUGGGGUUAGUUCCACCGGACCAAUCUCCACAAUGGAGAAGGCUGCACGUCAUUUUUCACAGCCGAAGAACAGAGCAUUAUUUUACGAGGAGUACCGCAACAUUAUAACAGUGAGGAGCAGGACAGCUGCUAAAAGCUGGAGGGACUGCUGGCAAAGAAAAAAUCAUCAAUUGUGUAAAUUACAUUUGUGCGUUCAUAAAUUUAUGGCCCCCUAAUAUGUUGUCAUGCAGCGUGUGUGAUCACCUCCAUCAAUGACCUCAUUAUUUCAGAUACAACAGCAGUGGGGAAAAGAGUACGUGGGAGCAAAUAAAAAUAAAUCUAAAAACAUCCUUUAAAGUAGUUUAGUAGUAAGUUUAUUGGAAGAUUUUAUUUGUACAUAUUUCAACGCGUAAACAGUGAUUUCCUCACACUGCCUUCUUUUUUUUUUCUUAAUCAUCUGAUGGUCACAUGUCAUCUGCAGACACAUUUGGGGUUAAGAGGAGUUAUCCAAUCUGCUUCAAUAAAUUCUGAAUGAUGACUGAUAUGCUGCAUGAAAUUGGAACCUGGAGCUUGGCAAAUAUUAGUGCAUUGCUUAGACUUCAUGCUAUAUUGAGGCCGUCCGAGGAAAACCUGUAAUGUUCAUAGAGAACGUCAUCAGGUAAAUCAAACGGAUUUGAACAAUCAUGAAUAUAACGCAAAGCGCUCCUCUCAUUAUCCGUGCAACGAUGUCCCCGGAAUCCGGCAAAAGUGGGCAAGCCAUUUUCCAAGAGAUCUGAUUGGUCAGUGGGCGGUCUUUUAUACUUGCUGAGAUCUUAUCCUAAAACAUUACCUGCCCCGGAGCAGGUUUGGCGUUCCGCGUAAGUUACCGGGGCGUAUGGAAAACCCAGAAGUUAUCCAAAAGUUAUCUUGCUAAGACCAAAUCCAGCUUCGUAGUACAGGCCUCUGGUUCCGCCUACCGCUUGUAUACGGAUCUGAAGCCAAAAAGCUCUCGGUAUCUCCGGGAUUUUUCUUCAUUUCCUGAAAUCAGUGCUGUGCAGUUGCGUUGUGCGCAUUCAGCCGCGCAGUCGCAGAGAGUCGCUGUGAUGACACUCGGCUCAAACAGCGUAUCCCCCGGGAGAGCUACUCAAUCCCUGAACGCCCAUAGGCUGUAUUAGGUGUCAAUCAUAGAAAACAGGAACCCCCUAAUAACUUUUAAAAACGGAGCUUCACAGAAAAAUAGGACUUGAGCACAAAGCAGUCUUACAAUAACUACAUGUCAACAUCCUAAGCUCCAUAAGCUUUGCUGGUGAAGGCGGGAUUUAUGACCUAUACUGCAGCCCAUCAACAGAGGGUGCUGUUCUCGGAGUGAGGGGGCAGAUGGUGUCCAUUCUAUAUACAGUCUAUGGUUGGCUCUAACUCAGUAAAGUCAUUUUUUCACAAUGUCUAUAGAAUACAAGUCAGAAUGAAUUAAUUCCAAAUUUGUUGAUUUUAUUUACCAAUUGUUUUAAUUAUUUGGUUGGGAAUCAAUUGAUGCUUGUUUCAGCCAUGUGUUUUUCCAGGUACUGUUUCAAUUAAAAAAAUAUAUGAUUGCAACAAUGUUUUGCAUACACACUUUUCGAUUUUCGAAUGACUGAAUUUAUCAAACCUAUUAAGUAUGAUAAAGCAUCAGGAAACAUGUUUCCCUCCUGGGGCGUCUUCCUGGUUUUAACCCUUUCAUACUUUUCAAGAAAGUGAAAUAUGAAAACAUUCAGUAUGGAAAGGCUUCAUGAGAGAAUAAACGUACGGGAAUUUCAAACUUUUGAUGAACUGAAUAAUUUGAACAUGAUCUGUCAAAUAUACUUUAAAAUAUAUUUUUAAGACUGUCCUUACAGAUUUAGAAGAGUAAGCUUUUGAGGAGAAUGGCUGGUCUGUAUAUCUUAGAGAGGUAUAAAUCAUUUAUCCUCACAGGUCUUACUUUAGGUUCCAAUAGCCAAAGCAACACAAACACAAGAAGAUUCUUUGUCAGGCUGCAAGAAUCUAAAGUUUUUCUUCACUUUCUUAGGACAACAUUAACCUUUUGGACACCUGUUUUUGCAAAUAUUUUCAUCCUCUAUUCUGUCCUCACUUGCAGCUUGAAAAAAGGAAGGCACAAUCCAGGACACGUUCUGAAAGAAAUUGUGGAAUCAUCUGCAUUUGCAGUUGAUCAAUAAAAUAACAUUUUCAAUAUCAAUGUAAUUCAUUGAUAGAUUGCUGGGAACUUUAUGGGGCCCAGUCUUGACACAUGGCCAACAAUCUCUACUUGUGUGGAUACAGUUUGAAUGCAGGAAGACUAAAAAGUCCUGUCUCAUUUCCCUUUUGGUCAUGAGCCACAUAGAUUUUGACUGUCUUUGUGCAGCAGGUAGUGGAGAUGCUGACAGCUGAGAGUAAGACAGAAGCACAAAAUGCAGACAGAAGCACAAAAGGGCUGCGAAACUUAAUGUAUGUAUGUUUGGAAUGAAAGCAGACCGGGGCAAGCGAUGCACAGUUCAAAAUGCAAGCAGCGGGUUUGGAUUAGGAAGUUCACAAAUACAACAAUCAACCAGUAUUUUGGGGCAAAGCACUUAAUCCUAUCAACAUGGAAAUACGACAAACUACCCGGGAUUAAAUAGAGAAAUGGCAAAAAAAAAAAAAAAAAAAACAACAAAAAAAAAAACUUUUUUUUUUCCUUUUUAACAAUUAUUUAUCUGUGAUAAAUAAUAGGAAAACACAUUUCUCAUAAAUGUAUAAUAGUUUAAAAUAAAGACUUCAAAAUGCACGUACCUUAAAAAGAAGAUGAAAAAAAAAGGUUGAAAAGUUAUCAACUCUCCCUCAGUGUCUGAGUUGUAUGGUCUUGAAUGCAGAUUAAAAAGUUUUAUCUUAAUUCAGUCCAACUCCACUGUUGUUGAAACCUUUCUCUUUCUGUGACAGCCUUCACUUACAAUGGCUUUAUAUAUUGGUAAGAGAUAAAGCCUGAUUACGUGUUGCUUACGUGACAAUUAUUUCUGAAUCAUUGUGACACCUUUAUUAUUCUUUAAUUAAGUUUUUGGGGUGUGCUCCCUUCUUUUGUUCUGUGAAGCUGCUGGUACAUUCCACUUAUGUGAAUGCUUAAACAAGUUCCAGCGGUGUCAUAGCAGGUAAUGAUGAACUAAUUCAGAAAGAGCCUCAGUGAAGUGUUGAUGGAGCUGGAAGACAGAAAAUAAAAACAGUCAAGACUUUUUUUAGAGUGGGAGAUUUAAACCUUUUUACUGUGAAGUUAUUGUAUAAUUUCAUAAAUAGUGACAUCCACCCAUGCUUUUGGUGAGGAUUUCAGCAUAUUAUUGUAUUGUAGAAAAAAGCCUUCCAUACAGAAUCAUCCAUGUAAAAGAAUUACAGAGCAGUUCAACAAACAAAAAAAUCAACAUUUCUAUCCAAAGUAUGUUGCAAAGACCACUGCAAGUAAAAGCAAAAAAUAUCAUUAAACGACUUUUAACAAUACUAAUAUUUUUAUGCUGCAUUUUAGAGUUGAUUAUAUAAUGAAAUGAACAAGCUAUUAACUUAGUGAACAUGUAAAAGGAAAAAAAGUAUAGAGUUCUAGGCAAAGUUUUGAUUUGGGGCUCAUUUAAGUUGUCAGUUAAAUUAACAAUUGCCUAAUCCUAGUUAUUGAGUAUCUGAGCCAUUGGUGCUAAUAAUAGCAACAGGGUUUAAGGCAUGCCUGCUUGUGCCAAGUGAAACUCCAUUAAGUAGCAUCAGCCUCACAAAAGCAUAGUCACUCUUGCAUUAGCUCUCGGCCAGGGACAAAAACUUUUCCAGAUUAAAAAACCUUGUUUGAGAAUCUUGUAAGCAAAAUAAAAGACAUUUGUCUGCAAGCAAGGAUGUGGGACAGAGUAUGCUGAUGCCACUCAGAUCCAUAUAAUUUCCAAAUAUUCAUCAUCCUUCAACACCAUAAAAGAAGAAUUUUUAUUGUGCAAAAUGAUUCAACAGGAACUGAAUCCAUUCUGUUCCUGUGGUAUGUUUUUUUAAUGUCCAGUAGAGUCCAGCUUAUUAAGAUGAAUAAAACUCUAUCAACCAUCGCAACUUAUGUUGGGGCUCCUCAGGGUUGUGUGAGUUCAGCUGUGCUUUUUAGUCUUUAUAUGUGUGACUGUCAUUUGCUGGCGGAGGCGGGAUUUAUGACCUAUACUGCAGCCCAUCAACAGAGGGUGCUGUUCUUAGAGUGGCUUCACCCAGAGAGGAGGCAGACUCUAUCCAUUCUUUAUACAGUCUGUGGUUAAGAUUUAUUCUUUUUGCAUCACGCCCACUGGGAGGGGCUUAUUGUUUAAAAGACAGCCAUUUUGACCAUGUGAGUGUGGAGAAUUGAUACAUGGCAGAUGCUGGAGAGUUAUUGUAUCAUUAAUGGAGAGUGUGUGAGCAAACUGAUCAACAAUUUAAGAAUAACGUCGCACUGAAAAUAUGUCUGUUUGCUUCUCUUCUGUUUCACCUAAAUUGGAUCCCAAAAAACAGACAGUGGAGGCAGAGAUCCGGCUGGUUGAGUUAUUAGGGGGGUUCAUGUUUUCUAUGAUUGACACCUGAUACAGCCUAUGGGCGUUCAGGGAUUGCGUAGCUCUCCCAAGGGAUACGCUGUUUGAGCUGAGUGUCAUCACAGCGACUCUCGGCGACUGCGCGGCUGAAUGCGUGCAUCGCUACUGCGCAGCGCUGGUUUCAGGAAAUGAAGAAAAAUCCCGGAAAUACCGAGAGCUUUUUGGCUUCAAAUCCGUAUACAGGCGGAAGGCGGAACCAAGUUGUCCAUAAUAUAGACAGUCUAUGAUCUGAACACUAUCAGGGUUUCCUUUCUAUAGAUACACCUAACAUUGCUUUAAAAACUGAUCACAGAUGGCAAAAUACCUCUUUUACAUUUUCCCCAAUUUCAAUGUGUCAAUUCAGUCUCCUUCACUGAAAAAAAAAACAUGAGGUCAGGUUCCC